GACGGAGGAGGCAAGCGUUAUCCGGAAUUAUUGGGCGUAAAGGGUACGUAGGCGGCUGGUCAAGUCUGGGGUCAAAGGCCACAGCUCAACUGUGGGAAGGCCCUAGAAACUGAUCGGCUAGAGUGAGGUAGGGGUUGCGGGAAUUCCCGGUGUAGUGGUGAAAUGCGUAGAGAUCGGGAAGAACACCUGAGGCGGAAGCGCGCAACUGGGCCUCAACUGACGCUGAGGUACGAAAGCUAGGGGAGCGAAUGGG
rnacentral:rRNA from 1 species